UACGGGGGGGGCAAGCGUUGUUCGGAAUUACUGGGCGUAAAGGGCUCGUAGGUGGCCAACUAAGUCAGACGUGAAAUCCCUCGGCUUAACCGGGGAACUGCGUCUGAUACUGGAUGGCUUGAGUUCGGGAGAGGGAUGCGGAAUUCCAGGUGUAGCGGUGAAAUGCGUAGAUAUCAGGAAGAACACCCGUGGCGAAGGCGGCUCUCUGGGACGGUACUGACGGCU
rnacentral:rRNA from 1 species